UGUCAUAAACCAGAGAAUCAGGUAAUUUAAAGAUGCGACUAUGAGCUUGCUGCGCACAGGAUUGUGGGUCUCAGCGGGGGAAGCGGCAAAGUUCAAGGUCCGAACCAAGAGAGGUGAUGUUGGUCUGGGAAUGUAAUGAAGUCGGGGAGGAUAGCGCAUUAAAUCCUUUCCCCCGAGACACACGGUCUGCCCCUCUUUCUCGCUCAGGGCAGGCCUGGAACGGGCCGGUGAGUGGAUAAAGAUUAUCGAGCAACCGUGUUGACCGACACUGAAGAGUGGCCAAAGCACCAGGCCAGGUCAAAAAGCCUCUGCAAAAGUGGAUGUCAACUGCAAAAUCACAAUCAAGUCAGGCUCUAUUCAGGUGUAAAACGCCCACGUUUCAUGAUCCAUCCAGAUUCCAGCAUGAAUAACCAUACAAACCAACUAGUUCACCUGCCGAGAGGCCUCCACUGAUCUGAGGACCCCGAAGUGACACAGAUAUUGUGCAUUUACAAUAAAUGCAUCCUUUUUGACAGUGGAUAACCAGGGAUUUGGUGAGCCGGUGUUACAGACAAUGCCAAUAGUGACGAGAACUGUCAGUGGGAGACACGUGGCAAAAAGGACGCGCUCAGGCUCAAUAGGAACAGAGUUUCUGCACGUCAUGGGGAAAAAACGAGACACCCGCUGGUUGGGGGGGAAAUGAAAUUCACACCGCCUGCCAAGUACCGAGGCGAUUCAUCACCUCUAAACUGUUCUGCCGCGGCUGGUGUGGAAUAAUUCACAGUUGGGCGACAGGUCAGGCCACAACGGGAGCAAUCGCACCUGCCCUCUGCUCCUGACGUGCGUCAAACGCCUGAGAGGCAUGCCGCCAGGUGUGGAGCGAUGCUAGCUAUUAACCCUUUUAGCACUAAAGAAGACCCAUGACCCCACUGAUGAAACCUAAAGCCUCAAAAUGUGACUGAUAACCUGUUGAACUAGUUUAUUUACACUACUAAACCGUACAAUAAAUGUCAGUUCAUUCAUAAUUCAUCAUUAGGAAUUUUACAUUUAGCCUACAAAAAUGUACAAUGGUAAACUAAAUGUGUGGGCAAGUGUGUGAAACUUUAUGAUUUACAAUUUAUAAUUUACUGUACAUGAUUAUGUUA